rnacentral:rRNA from 1 species
GCUCAGGACGAACGCUGGCGGCGUGCCUAAUACAUGCAAGUCGAGCGGACCGACGGGAGCUUGCUCCCUUAGGUCAGCGGCGGACGGGUGAGUAACACGUGGGUAACCUGCCUGUAAGACUGGGAUAACUCCGGGAAACCGGGGCUAAUACCGGAUGCUUGAUUGAACCGCAUGGUUCAAUCAUAAAAGGUGGCUUUUAGCUACCACUUACAGAUGGACCCGCGGCGCAUUAGCUAGUUGGUGAGGUAACGGCUCACCAAGGCGACGAUGCGUAGCCGACCUGAGAGGGUGAUCGGCCACACUGGGACUGAGACACGGCCCAGACUCCUACGGGAGGCAGCAGUAGGGAAUCUUCCGCAAUGGACGAAAGUCUGACGGAGCAACGCCGCGUGAGUGAUGAAGGUUUUCGGAUCGUAAAACUCUGUUGUUAGGGAAGAACAAGUACCGUUCGAAUAGGGCGGCACCUUGACGGUACCUAACCAGAAAGCCACGGCUAACUACGUGCCAGCAGCCGCGGUAAUACGUAGGUGGCAAGCGUUGUCCGGAAUUAUUGGGCGUAAAGCGCGCGCAGGCGGUUUCUUAAGUCUGAUGUGAAAGCCCCCGGCUCAACCGGGGAGGGUCAUUGGAAACUGGGGAACUUGAGUGCAGAAGAGGAGAGUGGAAUUCCACGUGUAGCGGUGAAAUGCGUAGAGAUGUGGAGGAACACCAGUGGCGAAGGCGACUCUCUGGUCUGUAACUGACGCUGAGGCGCGAAAGCGUGGGGAGCGAACAGGAUUAGAUACCCUGGUAGUCCACGCCGUAAACGAUGAGUGCUAAGUGUUAGAGGGUUUCCGCCCUUUAGUGCUGCAGCAAACGCAUUAAGCACUCCGCCUGGGGAGUACGGUCGCAAGACUGAAACUCAAAGGAAUUGACGGGGGCCCGCACAAGCGGUGGAGCAUGUGGUUUAAUUCGAAGCAACGCGAAGAACCUUACCAGGUCUUGACAUCCUCUGACAACCCUAGAGAUAGGGCUUCCCCUUCGGGGGCAGAGUGACAGGUGGUGCAUGGUUGUCGUCAGCUCG